AUCCAGUUCACGAGUCCUAAAUAGAACUAAACACGUGUCCUGGAU
rnacentral:hammerhead_ribozyme from 1 species